CCAAACAUAGCUCAACGGUAGAGCGGUCGGCUGUAGACCGACAGGUUCCCGGUUCAAAUCCGGGUGUUUGGA
rnacentral:tRNA from 1 species